rnacentral:rRNA from 1 species
AGUGAACGCUGGCGGCAGGCCUAACACAUGCAAGUCGAGCGGCAGCGCGGGGGCAACCCUGGCGUCGAGCGGCGGACGGGUGAGGAAUUCGUCGGAAUCUGCCUUUUUGUGGGGGAUAACGUAGGGAAACGUACGCUAAUACCGCAUACGUCCUACGGGAGAAAGGGGUGGACCGCAAGUGCUCAAGCAGAAAGAUGAGCCGACGACCGAUUAGCUAGUUGGUGGGGUAAAGGCCCACCAAGGCGACGAUCGGUAGCUGGUCUGAGAGGAUGAUCAGCCACACUGGAACUGAGACACGGCCCAGACUCCUACGGGAGGCAGCAGUGGGGAAUAUUGGACAAUGGGCGCAAGCCUGAUCCAGCCAUGCCGCGUGUGUGAAGAAGGCCUUCGGGUUGUAAAGCACUUUUGUCCGGAAAGAAAUCCCUGGAGCUAAUACCUUCGGGGGAUGACGGUACCGGAAGAAUAAGCACCGGCUAACUUCGUG